CCAGCUACACUGGCCGUCCCUCUAUUCCUCAAAUUGUAACCUUGCUGCUGCCACAGGGCCUUUGCUUGUGCUGUUCCCUCUUCCUGAGGUAGUCUCCCCACACAUCUCCAUGUGACUCAUUCUUCUCAUCCUUAGGUCUUGCCUCAAAUGUUACCUCUUCCUAAAACCUUCAUGACAUCACCCCUUUCCCUAAUCACUAUCCCUUUACUUUGUUUGCAGUGCUUUUAUUUCCCAAAAAAGCAUUGCUCAUAGGCCCAAGAACCCUAAAAUCUCAGUGGCUUAACACAAAGAGGAAAAAAGGAGACAGGAAAAAGAGAGUGAGUGUCCACCUUACCCCUUCAUGAUCUUGGGCCUUUGGUCUCAGACUGGAACCACACCAUUGUCUCUCUUCCGUUUCCAGCUCGCCAACUGCGAAACUUGGAACUUGUCAGCCUCUGUGAUCAUGUGAGCCAAUUCUUUAUGAUAAAUCUCUCUCUCUCUCUCUCUCUCUCUCAAACUCUCUCCCUAUUUGUU